rfam:Stegodyphus mimosarum contig39790, whole genome shotgun sequence.
GCCUUCGAGGUGUAGCGGUCAGAACACUCGACGCGUAUUCGAGAGAUCCGUGGUUCGAGUCCCGGCGAAGGCA